rnacentral:rRNA from 1 species
AUUGAACGCUGGCGGCAGGCCUAACACAUGCAAGUCGAGCGAGCGGCGGACGGGUGAGUAAUGUAUGGGGACUGCCCGAUAGAGGGGGAUAACUACUGGAAACGGUGGCUAAUACCGCAUACUAUCGUAUAACUCAUAUGGGAUUAGGUAGUAGGUGGGGUAAAGGCCCACCUAGGCGACGAUCUCUAACUGGUCUGAGAGGAGGAUCACAUACACUGAAACAAAGACAAGGCCCGGAGGCGCACGGAGGCAGCAGUAAGGAGUAUUGCGCGAGGGGCGAAGGACUAAUGCCGCAAUGCCGCGUAUGUGGAGAAGGACGUGGGGUUGUAAGGUACUAACGGCGGGGAGACGUUACCCGCAGAAGAAGCACCGGCUAACGCCGUGGCAGCAGCCGCGGUAAUAC